CCAGAACCGCAUACGCUUUAUUUCAAGAACUGCCAUCUCUAAGUUUAGCCUGAGCAACAAUUGGUUUACUGUCUACAGGCUUGGCUCUCACAAGUUGUGCGAUGAUUAUCCUACUAAUUAUUCUUGUUGUAAUUACUGCGACUGAGGAGCAUCCCACAGUUACAGCUAGAGAUCCGGUAUAUCCUGCACGCGUUUUUGGACCUUCUUCACAUGUUAAAGUGGGGGAAUGUUUUGAGGUGAAGUGCAGCACAUUUGGAACCAAGAAUGAAGGGGAAAA